GACGAACGCUGGCGGCGUGCCUAAUACAUGCAAGUAGAACGCACAGUUUAUACCGUAGCUUGCUACACCAUAGACUGUGAGUUGCGAACGGGUGAGUAACGCGUAGGUAACCUGCCUGGUAGCGGGGGAUAACUAUUGGAAACGAUAGCUAAUACCGCAUAAUAUUGAUUAUUGCAUGAUAAUUGAUUGAAAGAUGCUAUUGCAUCACUACCAGAUGGACCUGCGUUGUAUUAGCUAGUAGGUGAGGUAACGGCUCACCUAGGCGACGAUACAUAGCCGACCUGAGAGGGUGAUCGGCCACACUGGGACUGAGACACGGCCCAGACUCCUACGGGAGGCAGCAGUAGGGAAUCUUCGGCAAUGGACGAAAGUCUGACCGAGCAACGCCGCGUGAGUGAAGAAGGUUUUCGGAUCGUAAAGCUCGGUUGUAAGAGAAGAGCGGGUGUGAGAGUGGAAAGUUCACACUGUGACGGUAUCUUACCAGAAAGGGACGGCUAACUACGUG
rnacentral:rRNA from 1 species